AGUGAACGCUGGCGGCAGGCCUAACACAUGCAAGUCGAACGGCAGCAUAGUAAGCGCUCGCUCUUACGGGUGGCGAGUGGCGGACGGGUGAGGAAUACAUCGCAAUCUACUUUUUCGUGGGUGACAACGGGGGGAAACAUCCGCUAACACCGCAUAUGUCCUACGGGUGGGAUCAUUGGUUCUUCGGACCUUUGGCGUCUCUAUUAGCCGGUGUCGGAUUAGCUAGUUGGCGGGGUAAAGGCCCACCAAGGCGACGAUCCGUAGCUGGUCUGGGAGGAUGAUCAGCCACACUGGAACUGAGACACGGUCCAGACUCCUACGGGAGGCAGCAGUGGGGAAUAUUGGACAAUGGGCGCAAGCCUGAUCCAGCCAUACCGCGUGAGUGAAGAAGGCCUUCGGGUUGUAAAGCCCUUUUAUUGGGAAAGAAAAGCAGCAGGUUAAUACCUCGCUGUUCUGACGGUACCCAAAGAAUAAGCACCGGCUAACUUCGUG
rnacentral:rRNA from 1 species